GUAACCAAGUGACGCCUACCGUUCACUGCGCGCGCUCUCAUAUCAACACAAAGCUCUGGAGCUGCUCCUGAUAGUGUCCAGUACAAACCAAAAACGAGGAUUUCAAGCUUUGCAAAUAGUUUUAAAAUCGGGAAAUGGAUCAGAAAGACACAGAAAUGAACGAAAAAGGAGUUUCUUCUUCUACCAGUGGAGUUGUUGUUCAAGUCAGAGAGAAGAAAGGAGCUUUACGCGCUGCCAUCCCCUAUAUGCCUUUCCCAGUAGCUGUCAUCUGCCUGUUCCUCAACACAUUUGUGCCCGGACUGGGUACAUUCAUCUCAGCCUUCACGGUUCUGUGCGGAGCGAGGACAGAUCUUCCCGACAGACACAUGUGCUGCGUUUUCUGGCUGAACAUCGCAGCCGCCUUCAUCCAGAUCAUCACUGCCAUUGUCAUGGUGGGCUGGAUCAUGAGCAUAUUUUGGGGAAUGGACAUGGUCAUUCUUGCAAGGCUGUAGAAGGUGCCAGAAUCCUUUGAACAAUGACUAUUAAAGCAGUCUGCUGGUAGGAGUGGAUUGAAAGCUCUGCAGUAAUUGUUCUGUGUAGGCGGACGAAGCAAAUCACAGAACUUUGUCACAUGUUUUUACUGUGGAAUGUUCAUACUGUCAUUGAACAUUUAAACAUAUUAUUCAAAAUUCUAAUCAUUUAUUUAUUUAUUUAUUUUGCUAUUUCACAACCUUUUGGAUCAAAAGUUUCUGAAGGCUACAGGGAGCAGGCCGCCCCUCAGCAGCUCUGAUUGCCGUCCUCCAAACCUAAUCCUGAAUGUGCGCCUUUCUCCUGUGCUGUCUGGCCAACACGUAUGGGAGCUUUGAGACGACCCCACGUGGCCUGGGAGAUCACAUGCAGAUUCUCAGCCCAACUCCUGCUACUUCCUGUCAGGUACUGCGUCAAGGGCACCUGAUUGUUGAGGGACAGCAGAAGAGCAUGAACAUUCUGUCAAUAUCUCUAAAAAUUGUCCAAACAUGCGAAACAUCUAUGUGCCGAAUACAUCCUAUACCUGUCAGGGAAAAUCGAUCUUAAUCAUACUCUACUCAGUAGUCUUAAUGUAUUAAGCUGACCAAUAUACACUAUGGACAUUGGAGUUUGUAAAAUAACUAUAUUUGUUAAAAGGCUUUGAGAUAUCUAAUGAAGUAGCUGAAA